rnacentral:rRNA from 1 species
AUUGAACGCUGGCGGCAUGCUUUAUACAUGCAAGUCGGACGAGUGGCGAACGGGCGUGUAAUAUAUUGAAACGUACCUAGUAAUGGGGGAUAACCAAUCGAAAGAUUGGCUAAUACCGCUAAUUAUUCGAUCGGCCAAUAGCUGAUUAUCUAGUUGGUGGGGUAAAGGCAUACCAAGGCGACGAUCAGCAGCGGGUCUGAGAGGGUGAUCCGCCACACUGGGACUGAGACACGGCCCAGACUCCUACGGGAGGCAGCAGUGGGGAAUUUUGGACAAUGGGCGAAAGCCUGAUCCAGCAAUGCCGCGUGUCUGAAGAAGGCCUUCGGGUUGUAAAGGACUUUUGUUAGGGAAGCGGUACCUAAAGAGUAAGCACCGGCUAACUACGUGCCAGCAGCCGCGGUAAUAC